GAACCAGUGAACGGCCUCUUUGCAAAUAAACUGGUGAAAUUCCACUUCAAAUUUUUAUUUGUUUUCAAAACUUGUUUUUUGCUGUCUUGUUUUUUCGUCUUUUUUAUUUGUUCUCACCUCCUUUUUGAACAUCUUUUGUUGUCAUCAUUUUCAGUAACAGUUUAUUAUUUACAUCAUGGAUGACUUUGUUUGCCAGACAUUAAAUGACUGGGGCCUAAGCAAGUGGAUAGAAACAUUUAGAGAACAAGGCGUUGGCAAGAAAUAUCUGUACUGCCUUGAGGAUCAAGAUGUGGGGGAAUUGAUUUCCAAAGUGGGACCAAGAGCACAUUUCAGAAAGAAACUGAGGCAGUUAAAGGAAGAACAAAAUAGAAAUGAGGAUACAUCACCUAUAUCUGUACCA